CUAGUAUAAGCACUUUAUACCGUGAAACUGCGAAUGGCUCAUUAAAUCAGUUAUCGUUUAUUUGAUAGUACCUUACUACAUGGAUACCUGUGGUAAUUCUAGAGCUAAUACAUGCUGAAAACCCCGACUUCGGAAGGGGUGUAUUUAUUAGAUAAAAAACCAACGCCCUUCGGGGCUCCUUGGUGAUUCAUAAUAACUUAACGAAUCGCAUGGCCUUGCGCCGGCGAUGGUUCAUUCAAAUUUCUGCCCUAUCAACUUUCGAUGGUAGGAUAGUGGCCUACCAUGGUGGCAACGGGUAACGGGGAAUUAGGGUUCGAUUCCGGAGAGGGAGCCUGAGAAACGGCUACCACAUCCAAGGAAGGCAGCAGGCGCGCAAAUUACCCAAUCCCGAUACGGGGAGGUAGUGACAAUAAAUACUGAUACGGGGCUCUUUUGGGUCUCGUAAUUGGAAUGAGUACAAUCUAAAUCCCUUAACGAGGAACAAUUGGAGGGCAAGUCUGGUGCCAGCAGCCGCGGUAAUUCCAGCUCCAAUAGCGUAUAUUAAAGUUGUUGCAGUUAAAAAGCUCGUAGUUGAACCUUGGGUCUGGCUGGCCGGUCCGCCUCACCGCGAGUACUGGUCCGGCUGGACCUUUCCUUCUGGGGAACCCCAUGGCCUUCACUGGCCGUGGGGGGAACCAGGACUUUUACUGUGAAAAAAUUAGAGUGUUCAAAGCAGGCCUUUGCUCGAAUACAUUAGCAUGGAAUAAUAGAAUAGGACGUGCGGUUCUAUUUUGUUGGUUUCUAGGACCGCCGUAAUGAUUAAUAGGGAUAGUCGGGGGCGUCAGUAUUCAGCUGUCAGAGGUGAAAUUCUUGGAUUUGCUGAAGACUAACUACUGCGAAAGCAUUCGCCAAGGAUGUUUUCAUUAAUCAGGGAACGAAAGUUAGGGGAUCGAAGACGAUCAGAUACCGUCGUAGUCUUAACCAUAAACUAUGCCGACUAGGGAUCGGACGGUGUUUCUUUUAUGACCCGUUCGGCACCUUACGAGAAAUCAAAGUUUUUGGGUUCUGGGGGGAGUAUGGUCGCAAGGCUGAAACUUAAAGAAAUUGACGGAAGGGCACCACAAGGCGUAAACCAUUGCAUUGCAAGCCGCAGCAACUCUGCGCCGAACAGCAGCCCGAAAGGGUGAUGUGGUGCCCUCUAAACAGUAAAUGCUAGUCCUGGUCACACAGGGCGACACACUCAAAUUGCGGGAAACCCCUUAAGCUCUCAGCUACCAAGCCAUCGGUUUCGAAAGACGGUGGUGGCCAGGUUAAUUGCCUCGGGUACGGUCAUAACGCUGAGGGAUUGGGCAAUCCGCAGCCAAGCCCCUAAGGUCGGACGACUACGGGGAAGGUUCAGAGACUAGAUGGGUGUGGGUUGGCGAUUCCGGCCAGCUUAAGAUAUAGUCCGGCCUUGGGAGAAAUCCGAAGGGUUCAGGUCUACCUGUCCAAAACGGGAGCCUGCGGCUUAAUUUGACUCAACACGGGGAAACUCACCAGGUCCAGACAAAAUAAGGAUUGACAGAUUGAGAGCUCUUUCUUGAUCUUUUGGAUGGUGGUGCAUGGCCGUUCUUAGUUGGUGGAGUGAUUUGUCUGCUUAAUUGCGAUAACGAACGAGACCUCGGCCCUUAAAUAGCCCGGUCCGCAUUUGCGGGCCGCUGGCUUCUUAGGGGGACUAUCGGCUCAAGCCGAUGGAAGUGCGCGGCAAUAACAGGUCUGUGAUGCCCUUAGAUGUUCUGGGCCGCACGCGCGCUACACUGACAGGGCCAGCGAGUACAUCACCUUAACCGAGAGGUUUGGGUAAUCUUGUUAAACCCUGUCGUGCUGGGGAUAGAGCAUUGCAAUUAUUGCUCUUCAACGAGGAAUGCCUAGUAGGCACGAGUCAUCAGCUCGUGCCGAUUACGUCCCUGCCCUUUGUACACACCGCCCGUCGCUACUACCGAUUGAAUGGCUCAGUGAGGCCUUCGGACUGGCUCAGGAGGGUUGGCAACGACCCCCCAGAGCCGGAAAGUUGUCA
rnacentral:rRNA from 1 species